CUAAGAGAGAGAACUGGACAAAAAUGCUGAACAGAUUGAUGGUUCACACUCUGUUUCAAAUAUAGAAAAUUAUCUAGAUGAAUGGAGUAAUUUCUCCUUAAGAAGAAAAUCCUCAGAAUUUCCAGCGAUUUCCUGUAGGCUAACACCUGGAAGCCAUCACCUGCAGAUGCCCAGCCGCCACACACUGUACCCUGCACAGCGGUGUGGGUGCUAAUGGAGAGACCUUGAUCCACCAGUGCACAGUAGGGAAAAUAAACAUACACCUCUCUUUGAAGUAGAAUGGAGAGUGACUCCGUGAAGUCAAGGGGCAUUGUGAAAGAAUGCAAAGCAAAAGGUUUUUCACUAAAGUCUCAUGUAAAUAAAAGUGGUCCUGGGAGGAGAAAAAACAAUACACAGCUGAGAAGAAAUCAACUUUGGAAAGUUCUUUCAGUCAUUUAUCAUUAAAUAGUUAUUAAUAACCUACUACGUGGCAGGCCUGGUUCUGGCCUCUGUGGGACAAAGGAGUAAACAAAGCAGAUAGUUCUACAAGUGACAGCCUAAUUCUUGAAAGAGACAAUUAAAAAAAGAUUGCACAUAUAAAUAUAUAAUUACUACUUUGAUGUUUCAAUGAAAGAAAACUGCAGGGUUCUAUGACAAUGAAACUUUCAGCAAAAAUCCCAAGAAGACAGGAAAACCCUAAGGAGACAGCAAAAAGAUCACGUGAAGCAUCGUUCAUCUGACUUUUAGGAAGCAUCUUCAUCUGACUUUUAGAAACACAAGCAGAGCCAUAUUUUCAGAAUUUUUCAAUUUCCAAAAUACUAAUUAGAAACAGAAAAUAGCUAGUGUAAUGUAAAUAGAUUAUUGAAGAUAUAAUUUAUAGAUUUAAAUUUCCAAAAUUUCAGACUUAAUGAGAACACUCCGUAAUACAUAUGUCAGCUUUUAU